GGGGCGAUAGCUCAGUUGGCAGAGCGCUGCCCUCGCACGGCAGAGGUCAGGGGUUCGAAUCCCCUUCGCUCCA
rnacentral:tRNA from 1 species